GUCAAGUAGGCACCUAAAUAUCCAAAUCAAGAGGGAAGUUGUUUUGGGAGUGAACAACACAGAGGCAGACUCAAGUCCUCCUGAGAUAAUUUAGGGGUGAUGUGAGAAUGGAGAAGCAAGGUCUGAGCCCCAUGACCUCUCUCUGGCAGAGGAGAAGGAACUCCCAGAGAGGAGACAGUCCUGGAAACUGUUGGAAGAGGCUAUUUUAGGAGUGUCCCUAUGAGAGUACAAAAAUCAGAAAAGCUAUUCAGGGACCCCAGCACACAUCCAACCCCCACCUCCUCUUUUCCUCUGAGCCAGGCAAGCAGUCUGUGGGCCAGUGAGUGAAUUGAAUUGGAGCUCUCAGAAUCUGGACUGGCCUUGUCCCAGGCAGAGCUUCAUGACAUUAAAUUAUUAUCUCUUCCUUCCUCGGUCCCAAGUUCCUUAACCCCCAAGCUGCUGAGUAUGUAGGUAUUAGAAAGAAAGCAAAUAAACCACUUUACACUGAUGUGUGAAUGCUGUUUAACCAGCUAGUUCUUGUUGAGAUAUAUUGUUGAAAAAAGGCGGAACUAAAUCUCUAAUCUGUGGAAUUUCAGGCCACCUAAUACGUGUAAGGCAAUAAAUGCCCUUGGGAGGGAAGACACUUUGAGGUGGGGGCUGUCACACUGCUUCCCCUUCCCACUCCUUCUAUGAUUCCUGCAGCAGCUUUUCUUCCACUAUUUCUGAAUCUCUAGAGUCUUGAAAACCUCCACCAUUACAAAGUGGUCCCUUUGGCCCUCAUAGCCAUGCCCCUGACAAUUAUGUUCAUAAUAAUAGCUAUUAUUGGGUACUCGCUAUGUGCACAUACUAGACCAAGCAUUUGACACAGGUUGACCUCAUUUAGAUGUCAGAACAACCCUAUGAGGCUGGGCCAGUCACUACUCUCAUUCUGUAGGUGAGGCCAUGGAGGAUUAGUAAUGUGAAUUAGCUGAGAUUGAAAUAGCGUCUUGCUCCCCAGUCCACACUCAGGGUGGUGUGGGUGGGAUAGAAGCCAGAGACUGCCCAUGUUUGUGUUUGCUGUCCUCAGAAUCCACAUGUGCAUCCCUGAUCUGGUUCUCUGAGGUGGCUCUUAGUAUGCUUGACUCUGUUUCCCCUAUUCUGAGUUUUCACAAGUGAACAGCCCAGGCCAAGACCACGGGUGCUAAUUACAAGCAAGAUGGGAGUUAUAUGGGGUGUCAGCUCCUGUCUCUUGAAAGAGAGGACCAAAAAAAUGCCUCCUCAUUCUAGAAAGAUGAGGUUGGGGACACAAUCUUUUCAGGCCAAAUCUCUUGGGCAGAGUUUAAAGUAACCACAGAAGUAUAUGGAUGCUUCCCUCACUGUUUCUGAGAUGUCCAAAUUUUUCUUUUUCUAGAACAGAACCUUUAGAAGGUUCCAUAAUCCUCCCUCUCCUGGCUCAGAGGCCCAGCUACACUUUAUAAAACAACCCAGAGCCAUCUGAUUUGAAGCAUGUACUGGCUCGUGUGUGCAAGACAGUAAUUACCUCCAAUUCCAGUUAGGAAAGCUGAAACCUGCCUUUUUCAUGCCUCAAACAAUUAUGGAAACGCCUUUUGAAGCUCUGGAUAGAAUAGAAAAGCAAAACAAACCAGAACCAAUUAGAGCCUGGGAUUUGAGCAUGGCUUAGUUUAGUGCAGUGGGACUCAGGAGGAACUGUGGGAGAGGGUCAGGGGUCACUCCAAACCUCCAGCUGCCGACCAAUUUUGCCUGUGCCAAAAGAACCAUUAUUUUGUAUUUAAAAUCAAGGCCUCUCUCCUGGUCCAGGAACAGCCUCUGCAUCAGCUGUGAAGAAGACUCCCUGAUUAGAUAAGGCCUGGAAUGCAUUUGAUGUUGAGCAAAACAGUUCUCUGACAGCUUUCCUUAUGUGCCAUUAGAAUAUUUUUCCCUCAGCUGAAACUUGGUGAGAUAAACUGAAUCCCUGGGGACUCUUGUUUUGGGGUGCAUAUUUGAGGAAUUUAUGUGGCCUGUGUGCUAUUUGGAAUUAAGGUUCUCCAGUCUUGAAACUCCUCUGGGCUUAGUAGCAGAAUCUGGCCAUUUGGAGUCAGUCUGGGUAACCACUGCUAUGAGAAUGGAAAGCGGAAUACUGGGCAAGAGGUCAGAGGUCAGAAAGCAGCCCUGGGGUGGGGUGGAAGCCUUAGGGCUCAUGCUUCUUUAUAGAACCCAAGGGUAGUUUUGUGACAUUCAGCACUAUGCCCCAAAGUAUAGAGAUGUAAGUGGAGCUGGGAUAUGGAGGUUUGCUGGAACAAUAGAAUUGUCUUAGCCAAGAGCUCUUCAUGACAAUAAUUGUCCAGGUGGCCUUUUGAAUUAAUAGGACUGGGCUGACUGUUAGGGAGACAUGACACUCUCCUAAGAGGCUCCCUUUUGAGUUUAGAUUAGGGUAAAAUGCGGCACCAAAGGGCCCCAAGAGAACCCAGUCUGCUAGAUUCGUGCCUAUACCCCAAGCUGAGAAGAAAAGCUUUCUCUUGGCAUAAGUACUCAGCCCUCUAUCUGCCCGUCUCCACUGCCUUGACAAUGGAUCCUGAUAUCUUACCUUAACUAUUAGCAAUAGCCUUUAUGGGAAUAGUAUGCCUAUAGAGCAAAGCAAAAAAAGGCACUUUGAUUAGGAAUGUGUCUUCUACCCUCAAGGUGGAAUGAAUAUCAAUGUCUGGAGACAUUACAAAAUGGCUGGUUCUGGUGACUCUAAGAGAUAGGGUUCAUGUAUUAUUAGGCCUUUUAACAAUUAUAAGAGCCAAGAUGUAUUACAGCUUUACCAAGUACUAUGCACUGUUCUAAAGGCUUUGCAUGGUUCACUCAUUUACUCCUGACUCCAGCCCUAUAGGGUAGGUACUAUUAUUAUCCUCAUGUUGCAUAUGAGGAAAGUGAGAGAGAGAGGUCACAUGACCUACCCAGGAACACACACAGAAUCAGCAUAAUGGACCAACAGAGAAAGCUCCUGUCAUGAUCCCAGAGUGGCUUAGAAGCACUGAAAAGUUUGAAACAUAUAUAACAAGAUGCUUAAAAUGUAAAAAAUCCAACCUUUUUAGGCUGGACAGACUAAAAGUGUGUGGAUAUAGAUAGUGUAUGGAUACUCUGAGUGGGUAACACACUGGAGUGUUGGAAUUAGGAAUACUC
rnacentral:lncRNA from 1 species